GAGAAGAUUCCAAGCCUUCUGGCGAUCCGCGACAAGUUCUUUGUAGAACUUUAAGAAAAGCAUUUUCCAUUAAAAGAAUGCUUUUAUGUGAUAAUGCCGGGGAAGGUUUUCCGGUUUAUCCCGGAGGGCUUGUAGCUCAGUUGGUUAGAGCGCGCGCUUGAUAAGCGUGAGGUCGGAGGUUCAAGUCCUCCCAGGCCCACCAAUUAUCCAUCCAUAGAAAAGCGCUUAGAAAGCUUGAAAAAGAGCUUUUUCGUAAAGUUUGAGAAAACUUGUUUAUCGCUUUUUGUAAGAUGUGGCGUUUGUUUGUUUUUCAAGCGGUCGAAACCGAAAGUGGUUUAAAGACAAGAGCCUUGGAGCAGGAAAGAACAUAAAGUCCAGGUGGUAUCACAUGGUCUAGAGUUAACCUGUUCAGGAUUGAAAUAUUCCAUGUUAAAAUGCUACGAUAUAAAUGUUUCGGAUGAAUUAUUCCGUUUUGGGGCCGUAGCUCAGCUGGGAGAGCACCUGCUUUGCAAGCAGGGGGUCGUCGGUUCGAUCCCGUCCGGCUCCACCAUUUGGUCAUCAUCAUUGUUGUGAGAACAGGCUUUAGUGAGAGGUUCAGUAACCUUUCGCUUGUUCUAUUGAAAUUGUGAAGAGAAGAUAUAUUCAGACAUGUUUUUUUUGGACUGUUUGUUUUGAAGGCAAGAGUUUUUCUCAUGGGAAAUAAUUAUGAGGAAUGCUUGUUAAAAAAUGCUUUCAGAAAAUGAUCUGAAAAGCAGAUCUAAAAAACAAAUGGGUCUUUUGUUUGUUUUGAAAUUGUCGGGAAAGCUAUUUUUACAAAAUAGUUUUUCAAAAAUGUUAAAAAGCCAUGCAACGAGGAGACUGUGUAAGCCAAAAGCAUAAGCAGGAAAUCAAGUUGUGUCGCAUGAGACGUAGGCAAAAGAGAAAAAAUCAAAAGAGACAAAAAAAUCGAAAAAGACAUUGUUCGCAAGAACGUCAAG
rnacentral:tRNA from 1 species